rnacentral:SRP_RNA from 1 species
GCCGGGCAUGGUGGUGCAUGCCUGUAAUCCCAGCUACUUGGGAGGCUGAGACAGGAUAAUCAUUUGAGCCCGGGAGGCGGAGGUUACAGUGAGCCGAGAUCCCACCGCUGCACUCCAGCCUGGGCCACAAAGUGAGAUUCUGUCUCAG